GGCUGCACAGUGGUGCAGUUGGUAGCACUGUUUCCUUGCAGCAAAAAGGUCCUGGGUUCGAUCCCGGCCUGGGGUCU